AUUGAACGCUGGCGGCAGGCCUAACACAUGCAAGUCGAGCGGAUGAAGGGAGCUUGCUCCUGGAUUCAGCGGCGGACGGGUGAGUAAUGCCUAGGAAUCUGCCUGGUAGUGGGCGAUAACGUCCGGAAACGGGCGCUAAUACCGCAUACGUCCUGAGGGAGAAAGUGGGGGAUCUUCGGACCUCACGCUAUCAGAUGAGCCUAGGUCGGAUUAGCUAGUUGGUGGGGUAAGGGCCUACCAAGGCGACGAUCCGUAACUGGUCUGAGAGGAUGAUCAGUCACACUGGAACUGAGACACGGUCCAGACUCCUACGGGAGGCAGCAGUGGGGAAUAUUGGACAAUGGGCGAAAGCCUGAUCCAGCCAUGCCGCGUGUGUGAAGAAGGUCUUCGGAUUGUAAAGCACUUUAAGUUGGGAGGAAGGGCAGUAAGUUAAUACCUUGCUGUUUUGACGUUACCAACAGAAUAAGCACCGGCUAACUUCGUG
rnacentral:rRNA from 1 species